AGCACGAGAGAGGCGGAGAGCCGGCUGAGCAGUCAUCCUCCUCCCAGCCGGGGCCAGCCUCCCGCUGAGUGGCAGGGGCCAGCUGCUGACGGGCUGGCCUCUGACCCGGAGCCACCACUUGUCUGAGGACACCAGCAGUCAACCCUGGCCCCCGCCCCCAGCGCUCUGAGACAGCAGCUGAAGCAGAGAUGCCAAAACUUGGGGAUGGGGGAAAAGGAAGAAAAAUAGCAGAAAAGUUCUGAUGAGAGCGCGUUCCCUUCUCGUCUCUUUUUAUUUAUUCUUCUACACAGGAGAAUGGUGAAUCACCACGACUUUUUAGAAUGACAAGUACUUCAGAUAAAGAUAGCCCUUUACAAUUUUGCUGUCUCCGAAUCAGACAAAAUAGGUUUCAAAUAAAAUUGGCUUAUGGAGAGAAGGACUACAAAGAAUUAACCCCCGCCAAGCACUGUGUAGGUCCUCACUAGCCGGCUUUAUCCGAUUCUCAGCCGGACCCUUCCAAGGUUUCAAGGUAGCGGACAUACGUGAGAUGCCCGAAGCAUGGAAAGGACUGGUGCAGACUCUGAGAAUGGAGGGGCCACACAGAAGGAAUGAGGUGGCCUCGAGGAGACAGAGUGGCCCCUGGCUGACCAGCAAGAAGGGAACCUCAGGCCUGAGGCCACAAGGAAGUGGAUUCUGCCAAAGACCUGAACGCACUCGGAUGUGACUUUCUUCCCAAAGCUUCCAGGGUUGUGGGAAAGAAUCUCAUGGCUGUUUAGAAUGACUCACACCAAAAAUUAGAAAUAAACAGAUACCCCAAAGCACCAAGAAGCUCAUCCUUGGUUUGGACAAAUCCCUGGUUGUCAGAAAUCCUUCCAGACGAUAAAAUGAACCGUUGAUAAGAACAGCACAGAGAGCAGGCUGAUUAGAUAAUGGUCCCAGGGCAGAAGCUUUUGUUCAAUCAAUGUGUCUUCCUCUAUUGUCUUCAAUAACACUCUUCACUGAAAUGCAAUUUUGACAUCUUUUGCCCUCAUUUCACUAUGAAAAGCUAUUUGACAAUAUCCUCAGGGGAGAGCAAAUGGAAGUGAUGUUGACCUUCACAAAACAACCCUCCACCUUUCCCCGGGGUGCCCUCAGUUCUCACCCACACAUGUGCAUUUCCCCAAGGCUGUGAUGACUCAGCAGUUCUACGGAAAGUGGAGAUUCCAGAAUCUGCUUGAUUUGGGGACAGAGGUGGAUUGAUGAUGACAAAGACAAGCCUACGAACCCAAUCCCCAAUCUAACUACAAUGCAAAUUCAGAUUUUUUUUUUCUUUUAUAUUCCUUUCCUCCCUGCCCACACCAAGUUUCAGUUUCUCAAGCAUAAUAACUACAUUUCUUAUUACAAACUAUUUGCUAGUGCUUUACAAUACGUCCAGGGCUUUGUAUCCUGUCUCCACUCAAAACAAUUCAGCAAGGAGAUGCUGUUAAGCCCAUUUUAUUGAGGCUCAGUGACCUCACGCAGUGCAACGUAAUACAUGGCGAGGCCACAACUGAAACCCCGGUGUGCUGGGUCCCAAAGCUCCUUCAACUAUUCCCCACUUUCACUCGUGAACUUGGGCAAAGCCUUGGGAUGCAGCAGCUAUCUUGGGGAAAAUGAUUUUUUUCAAAGUAAAUUAAAGGAAUUAAUUUCUACCGGCUUUCUGGAAAAAAAAUAUGUACAUAUACAUAUACUGUAAAAUGGAAGUCCUUUGUCUUUAGCAAGCAAAGAGAAAGAAUAUGUUCAAAUCCAUUCCCUUUU